rnacentral:tRNA from 1 species
AGUUAAUUUAAAAAAUGUCUUGAAAACAUUUAUAAAGAAGUUUAAUUCUUCUAUUAACUU